rnacentral:rRNA from 1 species
AUUGAACGCUGGCGGCAUGCUUUACACAUGCAAGUCGGACGGCAGCACAGAGAAGCUUGCUUCUUGGGUGGCGAGUGGCGAACGGGUGAGUAAUAUAUCGGAACGUACCGAGUAAUGGGGGAUAACUAAUCGAAAGAUUAGCUAAUACCGCAUAUUCUCUGAGGAGGAAAGCAGGGGACCUUCGGGCCUUGCGUUAUUCGAGCGGCCGUUAUCUGAUUAGCUAGUUGGUGGGGUAAAGGCCUACCAAGGCGACGAUCAGUAGCGGGUCUGAGAGGAUGAUCCGCCACACUGGGACUGAGACACGGCCCAGACUCCUACGGGAGGCAGCAGUGGGGAAUUUUGGACAAUGGGCGCAAGCCUGAUCCAGCCAUGCCGCGUGUCUGAAGAAGGCCUUCGGGUUGUAAAGGACUUUUGUCAGGGAAGAAAAGGCUGUUGCUAAUACCGACAGCUGAUGACGGUACCUGAAGAAUAAGCACCGGCUAACUACGUG